AUAUAUAUAUAUAUAAGCCUACAUAAGAAUCCGUUGAUUUCUUUGCCCACUUUCCCUGUUAAUCUCCUCGUUUGUUAAUGGACCGAAACACCAAGACUGCAAAUGACAAAGAAAGUUAAAGUGUGUAAUGCGACUGUUUACAAGCACGCUUAUCUGUCUCAUUCUGCCCCGUAGCAUAAAUCCCAUUGGUUGAUUGAACAGGGAGCCAUUUUCCAUUCAAAAUCAAACCAACCAAUGUUGAGCUGGGCUGCUUGAGACAAUCAGAAGGGAUUUCUAGACCAGAGUCCCACCAUCCCUCUCUUAGUUAAUGCCUGAAAAUCAUGAGAGAUGUUGUCCCCUUUGAGUUGUGGAAUUGGAUCCGAACGAACAUAAUGCCACACUGUCUGUCCAGUCUUUCUUUUACUUUUGUUUCACCUUUACCUAUGGCCAAACUUUUGUCUCAAAUUGAAACUCCUUAAUGAUUUUAUUUUUCACAGAUUAAAUCUAAAGGUGACCACAAAAUACAGCUUAUAGGGAUAAUUUUAUUUGGUAAAGUGUAAAAAAAAAAGAGGAAAAGAAAACACAAUAAGCAAAAGAACAAAUAUUUAUUCCAGUAGAAAAUAGAUGAAUAUUUGCUGGCGAUUAUUUUUAUAACAAAUGUACAUAAUGUCUUUGAGAGAUGCUAUUUGCUGUAUAACGUGCUGAAAUGAGACGAUGACGACCCAUGUGGGACACUUAAUAACAGCAAGGUCCAGUAUACAAAGUUUCAGUAAUGUGCAAUACAAAACGGCAUGCUGUUUUAAAAUGAGGAACUUCAUGUACUGUACUAUGCAACCGCAAACUGUGUACAUCGCUUCAUGCUGUGGCUUCUCCAACCACCCUUUUCCAAGCAGCUUCAUCUGGACUUUUAAUGGAUUUUUGUGUUUUAUCUUUUUUUUUUCUGUGGAAGAUGAAAACUUAAGCGGCUUAUGCGGUAUUGCAUGCAUAAUAUACCAUUCUAAUUUAUAAAAAGGCAUUUAAGAAAACUACAUGAAAUUGGAGGUGAUUGUGUUUAAGGCAAAGCUACAAGUGACUUAAAACAUUUUCUUUUUUCAAAAUAAAAGUCGUUCUAAAGUUGUCUACAGUAUAUAUAUCUAUAUAUAUAUUUAUAUAGAUAUAUAUAUUUACCAUAAUCAAUGUUGUAGUGUGGUGUAUUUUGUUGCUUUUUUAUUUUCUUGAGUUUCUAAUCAUUAACCAGGAAAUAUAAAUCCAUUUGGGGACUUGGGGAGUAUUUUUAGCCAGUUAAAAGGACCUGUGUGAAGCCUGACAUCUAGUGUUGAAAAGCAGGUAGCCUACUUCUACCUGCUGUCGGCUGCUCCACUGAUGGUCAACAGGGUUUUUUUUGAUGUUUUUUUUUUUAAAGUCAAAGCAACUUCAACGUCAACGCGUAUAUUGUUGCUAUCUAGGGGGGCUACAAUUUGAGCCUGCUUUGUUUACAUUUUGGCAAAUUCUGCCAAAGAGUGAAAAACGGAACAAAGUCCCAUCCACUGCUCUCCAAUAAGAAAUUCUACCACCGGUGAGACAGCAUAUUUCGUGAGUGAUUAUUUAUAGAUUAAUGGCUAAUUGAUUGAAUUAUCCCACCACUGUAUCUGACAGGAACAUAGUUGGAAACAAGUUGUGUGUGCGUCUACAACUAUUGUCCUUACGACCUGUCUUAAAAAUCCUCUGGUAUGUUUGUCUGCAGGCGCUGAUAGAGGAGGCCCGGGGUCCGUCCAGCUCUGGAGACCUGGAGCUCAGGUCCAAAAGACAGCAUCGCUCGCCGGCAUCCAGACACUGGUUGUGGACCACAAACGGUACAGGAGCCGAGCAGAGUUGGAUGCCACCGUCGUUCACAUGCUGGAAGAAUUUGGUGUAGGCCUAAAGCUGGUGUGUCCUCAAGAGGAUCGCUUCUUGAGGAUACUUUUAAACUGGUUUUAUAAUACUAAAGAGACACUAACAAGGUAACUGUUUACUGUUCUAAUACCCCAAACUUUCAUUUUGUUUUUCUCAGAUUGUCAUGUCCAUAAUUGGACUUCUUGUGUAUAGCAUCAUACUUGGAACAAAAUGACAUUACAAUUGUAUUAUUGUACCUUUUAAAAAAUGGAGUUGCACGUCUAAAUAAAUAAAACUAAAGGUCUUGGCAGUCCAAUUUGUAAUGCUAUCUGGAGAAAGUAUGUUGAUGUAAUUGUGAAUUUUGCUGCAGCCAGGUUAUGAAAAUAGGAAUUGAAUCUAAAAUGACUGCUAAGGUCAAGACAGAUCUUGUUAUCAUAAUCUCUUUUUGUCUCUGUGAAGAAUAGGUAACGACAGACCCUUUCUCUGCCCCUCUCUUCCUGUCUCUUGCAGAUAGAUUAGGUUAAAACCAACUAUUAACAUAUAAAGAGAAACCUUCUCCUACACAGCAGGAAAUAACCUUCUUUCAGUCUCCUCCUGGUGCCUUAGUCUGGGUUAGGACAAUAUGUUAAUUCCUGUAAACUUGUAAAGACUUGACAUCUGCACGAUAGAGCCUAUUGGUCUGUGGGUGAAAAUGACCCCUAGGGGGCAGAGUUUAGGGCAUGUCCUUCCUAAUUGGACAGCGAAGAAACCAACGAGAUGCGUCCAACCUGUCACCAUGCCAACGAAGAGCCUAUGAGGAGGGCUCUUACUCACGAAGGAGAAAAAAGUAACCGCCCCUGGGAUUGGAGGAAUAAAGCAGGGGGGCAACGGGGAUUCUGGGCGAAAUAGAUGUGGAAACUUGAGGGUUAAACAACUAUUUUCAAGGCCCGCUGCAGCGUAAUUCUCUGUAUUUUGACUUAUCAUUUUUGUUAAUAAAUCUUCAUUUGGA